GACAGAGGGUGCAAACGUUGUUCGGAAUUACUGGGCGUAAAGCGUGUGUAGGCGGUCUUGUCAGUCGGAUGUGAAAGCCCGGGGCUCAACCUCGGAAGUGCACUCGAUACUGCAGGACUUGAGUACCGGAGAGGUGGGUGGAAUUCUCGGUGUAGAGGUGAAAUUCGUAGAUAUCGAGAGGAACACCGGUGGCGAAGGCGGCCCACUGGACGGAUACUGACGCUGAGACACGAAAGCGUGGGGAGCAAACAGG
rnacentral:rRNA from 1 species